AAAAAGAAAAGAGAGAAAAUAAAUAGAAUAGGCAAACGUGAAGCAGGGGAAGGGAAGGAAGAAAGAAAGGAAAGAAAGAAAAGGGAAAAUUCAAGGUUUGAAGCUUUAAAGUUUAAUAGCUAACGUUGUCUCGGGAAAUUUCGGCUAAGCAAGGAAAAAUGGCAAAGACAACGGGAGUUAGCUCGAGAAAAUACGGUUAAGGCUAGACCGUUGAAUCAGCAUCCCAAGUCGAUCCUGAAUUCAAUGAGGUCGUCAAAAAGCUCGAACGGCUGGAAUCAAGUCAAAGUACAUUCACACUAUCCACCCUUCAUCUCAGGAGAAGAUUUGGAUAUUUUGAUGUCGGGUUAUAAAUGGCAUGUACUAGGAGUUUAAGUUAUUUUGUUUAUGAUGGUGUUGUUUAUAAGUUAGUUUGAGUAAGUUUUGCAUUGUAUAUAUAUAUGUUUGGUAUCUUUGGGUUAUGUUUGUGACUGGUAGUGCUUUUGGUCAUUAGCUAAAUGCCUAUUAUGAUUAGCUUGAUAUAUGGUAAAUGGAUGUGAUGAAAUGGAGGUUUUAGUAUGUCUUAAAAGUAAUGUCUUGUAAAUAUUAAGUAUGGGUUUGUUUAGAUGUUUAAUUUGUGGUACCAAUGAGGGUACAUUGGAUAGGCA